rnacentral:rRNA from 1 species
ACUGAAUAGAUACCCGGGUAGUCCACGCCGUAAACGAUGGAUACUAGCUGUUCGGAGCAAUCUGAGUGGCUAAAGCGAAAAAAGUGAUAAGUAUCCCACCUGGGGAGUACGCACGCAAGUGUGAAACUCAAAGGAAUUGACGGGGGCCCGCACAAGCGGUGGAGCAUGUGGUUUAAUUCGAUGAUACGCGAGGAACCUUACCAGGGCUUAAAUGUAGAUUGACAGGACUGGAAACAGUUUUUCUUCGGACAAUUUACAAGGUGCUGCAUGGUUGUCGUCAGCUCGUGCCGUGAGGUGUCAGGUUAAGUCCUAUAACGAGCGCAACCCCUGUCGUUAGUUGCCAGCGAGUCAUGUCGGGAACUCUAACGAGACUGCCAGUGUAAACUGUGAGGAAGGUGGGGAUGACGUCAAAUCAUCACGGCCCUUACGUCCUGGGCCACACACGUGCUACAAUGGUAGGUACAGAGAGCAGCCACUGCGCGAGCAGGAGCGAAUCUACAAAACC